rnacentral:lncRNA from 1 species
GACAUUCCAUCAAUCACAACCACAACAUAAACUAACUGAACAACAGUGAACACGAAUCAGGUAACGCCAUUUCUUGAAUUUAUUUCCAAAUAAAUAAUUAGGAUAAUACAAUUUAUUUUUUAUUUAAUUUAAUAAAAGAAGAAAAAACUAUGAUAAACACUAUUUUACCCCACCAGUUCUCCUGACUUUCUUCAAGCUUUCUUCCCAUGUGUUGAUUCUUUUUUUUACAACAUUGAGAUGAUGGAUCACAUUUGGACAUGAAAACUGCUUCAUUCAGCUCCCCAUUAAAACCCAGAGCAAGUAAUUCGGGAUAAACCGGCAUGUUAAUCUUCCUUACAAC